AUACGUACAUGGCAGACGAGACUCCAUGAUGAUGAAGGUGGGUUUCCCAGGGUGAGGCUCAUCCCUUGCACUCCUGAUGUGUGAUCCCCGGGCUUUCCUCAAACAGAAGAAACUCAGCUGCCCCAUUUGUGGUGACGACUGUGGCGGUUACACUUU